AUACGGAGGGUGCAAGCGUUAUUCGGAAUCGCUGGGCGUAAAGGACGCGUAGGCGGGUUGGCAAGUCAGAUGUGAAAUCCUACAGCUUAACUGUAGAACUGCAUUUGAAACUGCUAACCUAGAGUAUGGGAGGGGGAGAUGGAAUUAGUGGUGUAGGGGUAAAAUCCGUAGAUAUCACUAGGAAUACCGAAAGCGAAGGCGAUCUCCUGGAACAUAACUGACGCUAAGGCGUGAGAGCGUGGGGAGCAAACAGGAUUAGAAACCCUAGUAGUCC
rnacentral:rRNA from 1 species